rnacentral:rRNA from 1 species
GUCCACGCUGUAAACUAUGAUUACUCGAUGUGUGCGAUAUACAGUACGCGUCUUAGCGAAAGUGAUAAGUAAUCCACCUGGGGAGUACGCUCGCAAGAGUGAAACUCAAAGGAAUUGACUGGGGCCCCGCACAAGCGGAGGAGCAUGUGGUUUAAUUCGAUGAUACGCGAGGAACCUUACCUGGGCUUGAAAGUUAGCGACUGAGUGUGAAAGCAUUCAUCCCUUCGGGGCGCGAAACUAGGUGCUGCAUGGCUGUCGU